rnacentral:rRNA from 1 species
CCUACGGGUGGCAGCAGUGAGGAAUAUUGGUCAAUGGGCGUAAGCCUGAACCAGCCAAGUCGCGUGAAGGAUGAAUGUUCUAUGGAUUGUAAACCUCUUUUAUAAGGGAAUAAAGUGUAGGACGUAUCCUAUUUUGUAUGUACCUUAUGAAUAAGGAUCGGCUAACUCCGUGCCAGCAGCCGCGGUAAUACGGAGGAUCCGAGCGUUAUCCGGAUUUAUUGGGUUUAAAGGGUGCGUAGGCGGCCUGUUAAGUCAGUUGUGAAAGUCUGUGGCUCAACCGUAGAAUUGCCGUUGAUACUGGCAGGCUUGAGUAUGUUAGAGGCAGGCGGAAUGCGUGGUGUAGCGGUGAAAUGCUUAGAUAUCACGCAGAACCCCGAUUGCGAAGGCAGCCUGCCAAGCCAUGACUGACGCUGAUGCACGAAAGCGUGGGGAUCAAACAGGAUUAGAUACCCCAGUAGUC